GAUGAAGAACGUAGCGAAAUGCGAUAAGUAAUGUGAAUUGCAGAAUUCAGUGAAUCAUCGAAUCUUUGAACGCACAUUGCGCCCGCCGGUAUUCUGGCGGGCAUGCCUGUCUGAGCGUCAUUUCAACCCUCAUGCCCCUAGGGCGUGGUGUUGGGGAUCGGCCAAAGCCCGCGAGGGACGGCCGGCCCCUAAAUCUAGUGGCGGACCCGUCGUGGCCUCCUCUGCGAAGUAGUGAUAUUCCGCAUCGGAGAGCGACGAGCCCCUGCCGUUAAACCCCCAACUUUCCAAGGUUGACCUCAGAUCAGGUAGGAAUACCCGCUGAACUUAAGCAUAUCAAUAAGCGGAGGA
rnacentral:misc_RNA from 1 species